rnacentral:lncRNA from 1 species
AAUGUCAACACCAUAAUGCUGGAGAUACCACUGCUUGAAUGGUGCUGCAUCAACCUGAACAAUGGCACUCUUCACCAAAGUUUGAGUACGGACCAGCUCAUUAUUGGAGGCAUUGUAUACCACAUCCAGAAUUCUGGUCUUACGAGUCACUGCUUCACUUCCCCAGGAGUAGUUUCCUGUGUCAAGCCUCAAAGCACGCCAUUUCACAUUACCUCCACGAACCCUAAUCCUCCUCACUGUCUUGUUGCUUGAUAGCUUAGUAUUUGCAGGUUGCCUUCCAAGCUCAUAC